rnacentral:rRNA from 1 species
AUUGAACGCUGGCGGCAUGCCUUACACAUGCAAGUCGAACGGCAGCAUGAUCUAGUUUGUUCGCUUGAUGGCGAGUGGCGCACGGGAGAGUAAUAUAUCGGAACGUGCUCUGAAGUGGGGGAUAACUAGUCGAAAGAUUAGUUAAUACCGCAUACGUUUUGAGGGUGAUAGUGCGGGACUGCAAGGCCUCCUGCCUUACGCGUGGCCGUUGUUCGAUUAGCUAGUUGGUGAGGUAAAGGCUCACCAAGGCGACGAUCAGUAGCUGAUCUGAGAGGACGAUCAGCCACACUGGAACUGAGACACGGCCCAGACUCCUACGGGAGGCAGCAGUAGGGAAUUUUGGGCAAUGGGCGAAAGCCUGAUCCAGCAAUGCCGCGUGUGUGAAGAAGGCCUUCGGAUUGUAAAGCACUUUUGUCCGGAAAGAAAUGACGCUGGUUAAUACCUGGAGUCGAUGACGGUACCGGAAGAGUAAGGACCGGCUAACUACGU